rnacentral:pre_miRNA from 1 species
AUAUAGUGAUUCGUUCAAAGUAGGUUGUCAAACAGACAUGUGAGACCUUUUCCUUUGUUUUUUUUAACCGUUUGUUAUUCCCUUUGGUUUUUAUUUCUCUUUCUCUCUCCAUUUUUUCUUUUCUUUACUCUUUCUGUCAGGUUGCCCGGACCCGUCAGACAGUUCAAGUGAACUAUUUUUUCCUAUGCAAGCCAAUGUCAAAUUUGACUCUUGCUUUGAAGAGGUCGUUGGCUAAAU